GAAGUGCAAGCACAUUUCACAAAUCCACAAUCUGUAAGUAUCACAUCCUGUGUGGCUAUAAACUCUGGACUGAGGAAGGGCUGGUGAUUUUCAAAAGGUGAAGACCAGUAGAAAAUUCUACAGGACUGUGUGAGAACCGAGAAUCUCCUGGGAGUUUGAGAGACCUCAGCUGCAACCAACAGGCUGGUCCACGGGCACAGGGUUCGUGGCACAAUCAUGCUAUCACGGUCCAUGACCAAUGAGGCCACUGCAGUUCUGACACCAAAUGGCAUCAGCUUCCCCCAAACAGGGGAACCUAAACCCACCAACCAGAGGCAAUACAACCUCAAGAAACAACUAAAGGCAGAGGUCAAAGUUCUUGGGGCUAUUCAGAUCCUGUGCGGGGUGAUGGUGUUGAGUUUGGGGAUCAUUUUGGUAUCUGUUCCGUCCUCUCCAUCCUUUACCCCAGUGUUUUCCACCCUUUUGAAGGCUGCUUACCCAUUCAUGGGAGGCUUGUGUUUUGUCAUUUCUGGAACUCUGUCAGUCAUCAUGGAGAAAAAGUCAACUAAGCCUUUGGUUCAGAGCAGCGUGGUUGCAAACAUUCUGAGCUCUCUAUGCGCUCUGGUGGGUUUCAUUCUCCUCUCUGUCACUUUGGAUGCUGUGGAUCCUGCCUUUCGGAAGUGUACCUUCAACAAAGAGCAAAGAAAACCUGAAUGGACUACAUUUAACUAUUAUAUUAACCCAUAUAUGGACAAAGAAUGCAUCACGGCCAAAACCACUCUGACUGGAACUCUGUCUGUGAUGCUGAUUUACACGGCGCUGGAGUUCUGCCUGGCUGCGCUCUCUGCCGUGAUUUGGUGGAAAGAGGCUCACUCCGACUUCCCUGGGCGUGUGCUUUUCCUGCCUCAGAGUUGCAAGAAUAAAUCCAGCACACCCUCAAAGGCAUUUCGUGACCCUGGAUACGAAGAACUAGUAACUUCUUAGGGGAAAUAGUCAUCAGAAAUUUGGCUUUAUGAUACUGUAUGAAGACCAGCCAGAGAAACUCAAGAAAGCAAAGUUUGAGUUCCCUGAAAUGUAGCGUUUAGAGGCCAGGGGGGUGGACUGAAAGUUCCAAUCCUCUCAUCAAUCAUAAGAGGGCCAAGGGCAGGGGGCAACUCCAUGAAAGAUAUGAAACACAAGGUUGCAAACCAGAACAGCUUGCUACUUAAAACCCACUGGCAGCCUGGGAUAGACAUCAAGAUUAUUAAAUAACUUCGAUGAAUUGUCUCAGUAACAUGACGUGAGAAAAUCCUUAUGAGGUCACAGAAACGUUGCUAUUCCUAAAUCACAGCUGAAGAAAUAGAAACUCGGAGAAUGUACCUGAAUUGUCCAAAGCCACCGAGCAAAUAACAGGAAGUCGCGAUUCACGCAAGGGUGUGCCUGACCUUAAGGUAUGCAUUCUUCCAGUCCAAUCCACAGCUCUUUUUUGCAGAUAUGUCAGAAACAACGGAGGCGUCCGCUCUACAGUGGUGAACAUCUUGGGCUUCUAGAAAGUAAUGAGUGAUGCCGUUGCUACCGAGGGGACUGCUGGGGGCAUUUCAACAAAUGAAAUUCAAAGUGCGCAGGUGGGACGAGCAGACGCACCCGAUUUAGCUCAACGUGUACACAGCAAGCUGCGUGAUUUCCUUAAAAAGAAUCUGCAAUCCCUGGGUGUAAGUUACCUUUAGCCCUGUAGACGUUAGGGGGUGAGUAUGGAAAAUUAAAUGGUCUACAACUUUAUUGGGGCUGAAUUAUUUUAUGCCAGCUCAUAAGACUGGGUAAAAAGUGGGUAGGAAAAUAUAUCUGGGAGUACACUUAGAUCAGAUGUUUUGCUUUGAAGGUGUUUCAGGCUCCCAGAGUUCAAAUGGGAUGUUUGUGCCCAAAUAUAAUAUCCCCAUGACGUAAUAUCCAUCCACAGGGCCUGGGAAACCAACACCAUUUUUUUUUUUUUUUUUGGAUUUCACUCUUCCGAGGAUUAUUUUUAAGACCCAGUGAAGGUGGAAAAGAUAAAAAUGCGAUUCAUAUGUGGCCUUGAGAUCGAGGGAGAAAAGUCUGUAAUGUAGAGAGUUUUUCCACUUCCCCCCUGUAUUCUAUUUUUGUUCCUCCAGGUAGCUCAGAUAAUGAUUGGCCUGAAAUGUUUCUUAUUUGGGAUCAUUGAGAUUUUUCUUUACUGGCACUCUGACUUCAGGAAUCUUUUAUUCUGCUUUUAUAUUGGUUACCCGUUCUGGGCUGCAGCAUCUUUCAUCAUGUCUGGAUCUUUGACCAUCUCAUGUACAAGAAAACAAACAAAAUUUCUGAUCGAAGUCAGUAUUGGAGCUAACAUUAUCAGCACACUACUUUCAAGCACUGGGAUAAUUCUUCUCUCCGUGAAUUUAGUUGACAUAGUCUUACUUGAAUGCUGGGAGUUACCGGCAUGUUCGUUGGUUAAAUCUUUUAUAACUGUAAGUACUAAUUUGUUGGAUGGUGUCUUCACACGUGAUGUUUGUUUUCAGUUACCUCAGCCCUCAGCGACUAAAAGCCUAUGAUGAAGUUUCUAAAGGUUGAAAAGUGAUAGGAAAACAAAUAAAUAUAAACAUGACAUUUGUUUUAAAAAAAAGUGAAACAACCUGAUUUCAGAAUUGCAGAAUUAUGUGUGUGCAUUUCUGUGUGUCAUUUUAAGAACACAUAUUCUUAUUAUUCCAGAUUUUCUCUGAUGAACAUGGGCUGUUCUAAAAAAAAAAUGAUAAAAAGACUGCUCACAGAUCAGUGUGCCCAGAGAGGAGGGACCUGAUCUGGAACAUUGAGGACUGGCCUAUGGAUUUCUGGUAGUGAAAAUGAUACAAAAUUUGGGAGCUGGUCUGAGUCAUCUUAAUGUUAAUUUAAAAGAUCAAUGGAGGGGCGCCUGGGUGGCUCAGUCAGUUGAGCAUCUGACUCUUGAUUUCAGCUCAGGUCAUGAUCCCAGGCUCAUGAGAUUGAGCCCUGCAUCAGGCUCUGCACUGAGUGUGGAGCCUGCUUGGGAUUCUCUCUCUCUCUUCCUCUGCCUCUCUCCCCAUGCUCUCUCUCUAUCUCUCUAAAAUAAAAAAACUAAAAAAUAAAUAAAAAAAUAAAAGACCAAUGGAAUGUUAGUAAAUCCAUCCUUUCUGUGAGUAAAGUUGAGUCACAUGAUGUGUGUAUGUGUAUGAAUGUGUGUGUAUGUGUGUGUGAGAGAGAGAGAGAGAGAGAGAGAGAGAGAGGGAGAGAGAGAGAGAAAAGUCCUGGUGUAUUCAGUGUUUGACCAAUGCGUGUGAAAAAAUGGCUGAAAUAGGAGUAACUAACUCUAGAAUGUUAAGGGAGUUCUUUUGCAGAGCUCUGCCAUUUAGAAUUCCUAUAACUCAUAUUUGUUUCUGUAGGAGUUUAUUUAUGGUUGCUCGCUGAGGCAAGGUUUGUGCCAGAUCCAAUAUUGUGUCUCAAUGGAAUGGGCAUAUCUUGGAUAGGAAGUGCAUUGUCCUCAAAAUAUCCACUAACCCUGGCCCCUUGCCCCCCCCCCCCCCCCAGACAACCAGGAUGAGCACAUUGCAGACUAAAGCUGGUUGGGGAAAUCUUAAUUCUUGCCCUUCUCUUCUGUAGAAUAUUGUGAUCCUUCAAAUGAUACUGACUUGUGUGCAGAUUUUUAUUUCGUUCUCACUCUGUGGGCUCACUUAUACCGUGGAUGGCAAUGAGAUCAGCUGGGCUUCUGCACUAAGUUGCUUGAUCAGAUCACAUUCUGAAGAUCCUUAUCAAGACUUACUGACUCAACCUGAAACUUACGAAGAUUUAGUGCUUCAAGACAUAGACCAGGUUCACUCUCAUCCAUGAGACACCAUCGAAACAUUUUUUACCACACCAGGGCGUCUUGGAUCCAUGAUGGCAACCAAAGACAGAUCUGAUAGGAAUCUUCUACAAAUCCCCUGUUCCCCAUGUCUUUUAUUACGCACUUUCACAUACACAGACACAAUUAGCAUGGAUAUGUGCUUACUUUGACAGGUGACCAGCAAAUACUAAUAUUAGCAUUCCGUGGCCUAAUAGACUUCUUUUCAUUGGGACGGUAUUACCAUUUUUGAGCCAAUUUCAGUUCUUAGGCCUCAGAGAGGAAUUUGUUGUUACCCACUUACUCCUUCCUAGAAACUGUACUUCCCUCUGGGUUGACAGUUUAUUCAAGUGAAAAAUCUUUGUGCAAAUAGUUUGGGUGAGUAGUGGCAUACCAUCUGACACUGGGUCCAAUCUAAGUUUCUUUGACUGUUGAAUGUACUAGGUCUCCCUUUCUUGUGUCAAGGUGAACUUGACAAAAUGUAAUGCGAUACAAAAUGCACACUCUAAUGUAUGACACAUAGUAAAAAUCUAAUGCAACCUCA